AUACGUAGGGGGCGAGCGUUGUCCGGAUUUACUGGGCGUAAAGGGUGCGUAGGUGGUUUCUUAAGUCAGGAGUGAAAGGCUACGGCUCAACCGUAGUAAGCCUUUGAAACUGGGAAACUUGAGUGCAGGAGAGGAGAGUGGAAUUCCUAGUGUAGCGGUGAAAUGCGUAGAUAUUAGGAGGAACACCAGUUGCGAAGGCGGCUCUCUGGACUGUAACUGACACUGAGGCACGAAAGUGUGGGGAUC
rnacentral:rRNA from 1 species